UCGAGGAUCUUCGGCAAUGGGCGCAAGCCUGACCGAGCGACGCCGCGUGGGCGAUGAAGGCCUUCGGGUUGUAAAGCCCUGUCGGGGAGGAGAAAAGGGUAAAACCUUGAUCUAUUCCCGGAGGAAGCACGGGCUAAGUUCGUGCCAGCAGCCGCGGUAAGACGAACCGUGCGAACGUUGUUCGGAAUCACUGGGCUUAAAGGGCGCGUAGGCGGGCCUCCAAGUCCGGGGUGAAAUCCUCCAGCCUAACUGGAGAAGAGCCUCGGAGACUGAGGGCCUCGAGGAGGGUAGGGGCAAGCGGAACUAUGGGUGGAGCGGUGAAAUGCAUUGAUAUCCAUAGGAACUCCGGUGGCGAAGGCGGCUUGCUGGACCCUUUCUGACGCUGAGGCGCGAAAGCCAGGGGAGCAAACGGGAUUAGAUACCCCCGUAGUCC
rnacentral:rRNA from 1 species